rnacentral:tRNA from 1 species
ACCUGGCUGGCUAAGUCGGUAGAGCAUGAGACUCCUGUUCUCAGGAUUGUGAGUUAGAGCCCUACAUUGGGUG